AUUGAACGCUGGCGGCAGGCUUAACACAUGCAAGUCGAGCGGGGACUUCGGUCCUAGCGGCGAACGGGUGAGGAAUGCUUGGGAAUCUGCCCAGUAGCGGGGGAUAACGUUUCGAAAGGAACGCUAAUACCGCAUACGCCCUACGGGGGAAAGGGGGGGAUCUUCGGACCUCUCACUAUUGGAUGAGCCCAAGUCGGAUUAGCUAGUUGGUGGGGUAAAGGCCUACCAAGGCGACGAUCCGUAGCUGGUCUGAGAGGAUGAUCAGCCACACUGGAACUGAGACACGGUCCAGACUCCUACGGGAGGCAGCAGUGGGGAAUAUUGGACAAUGGGCGAAAGCCUGAUCCAGCCAUGUCGCGUGUGUGAAGAAGGCCUUCGGGUUGUAAAGCACUUUAAGCGAGGAGGAAUGGCUCUUGGUUAAUAACCUUGAGCAGUGACGUUACUCGCAGAAUAAGCACCGGCUAAUUCUGUGCCAGCCGCCGCAGUAAUAC
rnacentral:rRNA from 1 species